AGGGUAAGUAUGGGAUAGAAAUAGAUGGUGGCUUACUUGAUCUACACUCACUGCUGUCCCUAGGCACCUACCAUAUGCCUAGUUCAAGUCUAAUCCACAUUCAAGCAAAAAUGCACCAACUGGGUAUUAAGUUCUCGUGGAAACUCAACAGCCAUUUCAUUGGUGGCAAUAGAUCACCUAAGAUGAUCAUGUAGUGCAAUAGCUG
rnacentral:lncRNA from 1 species